rnacentral:rRNA from 1 species
AGAGUUUGAUCAUGGCUCAGAUUGAACGCUGGCGGAAUGCUUUACACAUGCAAGUCGAACGAUGAACCCUAGCUUGCUAGGGGGAUUAGUGGCGAACGGGUGAGUAAUAUAUCGGAACGUGCCUUGUAAUGGGGGAUAACUAGUCGAAAGAUUAGCUAAUACCGCAUACGCCCUGAGGGGGAAAGUAGGGGAUCUUCGGACCUUACGUUAUAAGAGCGGCCGAUAUCUGAUUAGCUAGUUGGUGGGGUAAUGGCCUACCAAGGCGACGAUCAGUAGCUGGUCUGAGAGGACGACCAGCCACACUGGAACUGAGACACGGUCCAGACUCCUACGGGAGGCAGCAGUGGGGAAUUUUGGACAAUGGGCGCAAGCCUGAUCCAGCCAUUCCGCGUGAGUGAAGAAGGCCUUCGGGUUGUAAAGCUCUUUCGCAAGGGAAGAAAACUUACCAUCGAAUAAAUGGUGAGGCUGACGGUACCUUGAUAAGAAGCACCGGCUAACUACGUGCCAGCAGCCGCGGUAAUACGUAGGGUGCGAGCGUUAAUCGGAAUUACUGGGCGUAAAGCGUGCGCAGGCGGUUUGGCAAGUCAGAUGUGAAAUCCCCGAGCUCAACUUGGGAACUGCGUUUGAACUGCCAGACUAGAAUAUGUCAGAGGGGGGUAGAAUUCCACGUGUAGCAGUGAAAUGCGUAGAGAUGUGGAGGAAUA